rnacentral:rRNA from 1 species
UACGGAGGGUGCAAGCGUUAAUCGGAAUUACUGGGCGUAAAGCGUGCGCAGGCGGCUUUGCAAGACAGAUGUGAAAUCCCCGGGCUUAACCUGGGAACUGCAUUUGUGACUGCAUGGCUGGAGUGCGGCAGAGGGGGAUGGAAUUCCGCGUGUAGCAGUGAAAUGCGUAGAUAUGCGGAGGAACACCGAUGGCGAAGGCAAUCCCCUGGGCCUGCACUGACGCUCAUGCACGAAAGCGUGGGGAGCAAACAGG